rnacentral:rRNA from 1 species
AACGUAGGACGCAAGCGUUAUCCGGAGUUACUGGGCGUAAAGGGCGGGCAGGCGGUCUGUCAAGUGGGGUGUGAAAUCUCCCAGCUUAACUGGGAGAGGCCAUUCCAAACUGACAGACUGGAGGGCAGUAGAGGUAGGCGGAAUUCCUGGUGUAGCGGUGAAAUGCGCAGAUAUCAGGAGGAACACCUAAGGCGAAGGCAGCUCGCUGGAACGGUACUGACGCUGAGGCGCGAAAGCGUGGGGAGCAAACAGG